AACGAACGCUGGCGGCAGGCUUAACACAUGCAAGUCGAACGCCCCGCAAGGGGAGUGGCAGACGGGUGAGUAACGCGUGGGAACACACCCUUUUCUACGGAAUAGCUCUGGGAAACUGGAAUUAAUACCGUAUACGCCCUACGGGGGAAAGAUUUAUCGGGGAAGGAUUGGCCCGCGUUGGAUUAGCUAGUUGGUGGGGUAAAGGCCUACCAAGGCGACGAUCCAUAGCUGGUCUGAGAGGAUGAUCAGCCACAUUGGGACUGAGACACGGCCCAAACUCCUACGGGAGGCAGCAGUGGGGAAUAUUGGACAAUGGGCGCAAGCCUGAUCCAGCCAUGCCGCGUGAGUGAUGAAGGCCUUAGGGUUGUAAAGCUCUUUCACCGAUGAGGAUAAUGACGGUAGUCGGAGAAGAAGCCCCGGCUAACUUCGUGCCAGCAGCCGCAGUAAAAC
rnacentral:rRNA from 1 species